rnacentral:rRNA from 1 species
AGUGAACGCUGGCGGUAGGCCUAACACAUGCAAGUCGAACGGCAGCACAGUAAGAGUUUGCUCUUACGGGUGGCGAGUGGCGGACGGGUGAGGAAUACAUCGGAAUCUACUUUUUCUUGGGGGAUAACGUAGGGAAACUUAUGCUAAUACCGCAUACGAUCUACGGGUUAAAUCAGGGGUUCUUCGCACCUUGCCCGACUGAAUGAGCCGAUGUCGGAUUAGCUAGUUGGCGGGGUAAAGGCCCACCAAGGCGACGAUCCGUAGCUGGUCUGAGAGGAUGAUCAGCCACACUGGAACUGAGACACGGUCCAGACUCCUACGGGAGGCAGCAGUGGGGAAUAUUGGGCAAUGGGCGCAAGCCUGAUGCAGCCAUGCCGCGUGAGUGAAGAAGGCCUUCGGGUUGUAAAGCCCUUUUGUUGGGAAAGAAAAGCAGCAUGUUAAUACCCCGCUGUUCUGACGGUACCCAAAGAAUAAGCACCGGCUAACUUCGUG